UUUUUUUAAGUAUCAUGACUCUGAAAACUGGAGUAACAGCUGAUGAAAAUUCUGAUUUGCAUCACUGAAAUAAAUUAUAUUUUAAAGUAUGUAUUAUAUAUGUAUAAAUAACCUCUGACACAGAGAAGAGUGAAAACUCCUCACAUGACCGCUAAGUUACCGAACAUCUGAACAUAACAAACCAAAUGCACAUUAACGGAUCUUCUUCUGUCUGUUCUGCAAAAUGUUAACAACUGUUUAUUUCUGCAAGCGUAAAUAUUGUGGAAAUAUCAAUGUUAAUUGUGUCUAGGCAAAGGCAUUCCUCCUGGAACAGAGCUAAUGCAUGUUUGGAGGGUAUUUAUUUCAUAGUCUGUGACAGCUUAUUUAAUGUAAAAUUUAUAUUUUAUUUAAUGUUUAAGCAGGAGAGUCAUGCACUCAUUUUUUUUGAGGGGCCACGAGUUGGGGGGGGGGGGGCGUCAUGUGACACACAGCAGCCACAACAGCAUAUUGCCAAAUUAUUAUUAAAGGUCGUGUUGCAGGGUUAAUUUUUCAACGAAUUUUUGCAAUUUGCUUGUUGGUAAUAAACAUUUAAACUGUUAUCCAUUGUAUAUUAUGUUGUUUGGUAUCACAAAAUGGAAUAUAAUAUGAAAAAGUAGGUACUAUCUUACAGGGGUUUUCCAAUGAUUCUCCUUUCCCCCACAAUGCAUUGCAUUACGUCACCUUGGGGAGAGAAUUUACCAAAGCCCGCCUUGAGAGCAUUGAGAGUGACUAGAGAGACUAGUAGACGAGAGUAUUCAGAUAGCGCAGAUUAUAGAUAAACAGAUAAAUACAUAGAUAUAGAUAGAUAGAUAGACUAGAUAUAUAGACAGACAGACAGACAGAGAGAUAGAUAGAUAGAUAGAUAGAUAGAUAGAUAGGCAGACAACCAGAUAGCAUAACGUUAGCAUAGAUAGCUAGCAGCUAGACAGAUAAAUAGAUAGAAAUAUAUAGUAGGUAGAUUGACAAUGGUGAACUACUGUGUUUGUGCUGGGUGUAAAAACUCCACCCAAACAGGACACAGGGUCCAUGGCUUCCCCAUGAAGGACAAGGCAACCCUCAGACAGUGGGUACAAUUUGUCCGUGUUAGGUGGGCAAAUUUUUCAAUGACCUCCAUCACCACAAACUCGAAGAUCUGUAGCACGCAUUUCAGGGAGGAGGAUUACGACCCAGGGGAUAUCAGGAUGGUUUCUCUUGGGCUGAAGAGGCUGAGCUAUGUACAGCUUAUUCCGACCACUGUGCCGUCUGUGCACACGCACCUCUCUGCCUGCCCUGCCCCAAGACCGAGAAGCACUAACAUCGGUGCCACCCGCCGCAAGCGAGAGCUGGCUAAGAUGUUGACAGAUGCCUCGAUGCAGGAGACCGCGGACAGUGUCGGUGCUAUGAUAGAUGACCCCUUGCCCUCCUCCUCCACUUGUGACACAGUGACACAAUGUAAUUUGAAGCCCCCUGGAAUGUCUCACGGUAAAUCUUGGGUAUUUCUGGGAUGAUUCAAUGUUUGAGUGGUUGAUAUGCUGUCUACAACAUACGUUGCCAAAUUCCAUACAAUUGUCAAUUUGUAUAUCGUCAUUCCUUACCUACAUAUUUGUAUUUUUUGUAUUUUUUAUUCUUUUAUUGUGUGUUUUUUGUUCUGUCGCUGUCAUUCUGUUGCACUGCGGAGCUUCUGUCACGAAAACAAAUUCCUCGUAUGUGUAAACAUACCUGGCAAUAAAGCUCAUUCUGAUUCUGAUUCUGAAAUUUGA
ensembl:lncRNA